rnacentral:lncRNA from 1 species
GACUGACAGAAGCAUAAAUACUCAGAGAGAGCCGAGGCUUGGCAUUAUCUGCGAGGGAAUAAACUGUGAGUUGAAAUGUUCCAGUUGAAAUGGAAGGCAGUUGAACAAUAGAAAGAUGCCUCAUUCAACUGUUACUAUAUUAGAAAUUUACACUUCACUGAUGAUGCCCGACUGCAGUUCUCACACGCUGAUGUUUCAGAGUCCGGGAAGUCUGCUUCGGGAGUCGGGGUCUGCGGGCUCCGGCGGCCUAGGCCACUCCCAGACCUCAGCCAGAUUCAUAAAUAAUGUCAUAAUGAUAAUGUAUAAAUGACUAGAGAAACUAAUUUCCAAUUUAACGGUGCCUGAGCACUGCACCAUUUUUAUGAAUCAACAUUCUUUGGUUGCAAGAAACAAAAACAGACUCUGCUUAUCUUAAAAAAAUGACAACAGCAAGAAAAGAAAUUUUGCCGGAAGGAUUCAGGUACUCACAGAAAAGUUGGAGAGCCAGACUUUGAAAUGUACAGAGCCUGCACACCUGAGAAGAUCUCAGAACUGGGCAGAGACAAGAAUGUUCUCAUAUCAAAGAUGACUUUGGAUGUUUUAUUAGAUUCUAUGUUCCUGAUCAUGCAACAGGAGACUACAAGAUUAGAGUGACCAUUCGUGAUUGGAUCAGACACAAUGAGUAAAGUUGGAUGGCUUACAGUAGACUUACAGCAGACUUACAGUAGAAAUGAAACGCUUCUUUCAAGAUGGAACAAGACCUUCAGGUGUGCAUGAACCACAUGCACACGUAUCUCACAGCUGUGUGUCACCGUCUCUGUUGUGCUAGAGUCCCUCUCUCACUGAGACCUCAGGGCCUCCUGGGGACAAGGCGUGUGAGCGGUUUCCUAUGACUAAGUGCUGGAAGAAGAGCUAGAUAGCUUGGCCCAGUUUCCACAGGAAUUCUCACUCCACAGCAGUGCUAGUGGAAAGUGACCUGGCACCACAUGACAGCCUUGCUUGGGGCUGGAGGGGCAGGCUUGGAAAGCAUUUCCCCCUGUAGAAAGUGGUGUGAG